UACGGGGGGUGCGAGCGUUAAUCGGAAUAACUGGGCGUAAAGGGCACGCAGGCGGCCUUUUAAGUGAGGGGUGAAAUCCCCGGGCUUAACCUGGGAAUUGCAUUUCAUACUGGUAGUCUAGAGUACUGUAGGGACGGGCAGAAUUCCACGUGUAGCGGUGAAAUGCGUAGAGAUGUGGAGGAAUACCGAAGGCGAAGGCAGCCCCUUGGGAAUGUACUGACGCUCAUGUGCGAAAGCGUGGGGAGCAAACAGG
rnacentral:rRNA from 1 species